GCCGUGCUGCCGCCGCCAUUUUGUGCGAGCCGCGGCCGGGGCCGAGCGGGUGCGGGAGCCGCGGGGAGGGAGCCGGCCUCUUCCCCGCGCCGCCAUGCCUUCCUCGCCGCUCCGCGUGGCCGUGGUGUGCUCCAGCAAUCAGAACCGCAGCAUGGAGGCGCACAACAUCCUCAGCAAACGAGGAUUCAGCGUCCGGUCCUUUGGAACAGGGACUCACGUGAAGCUGCCGGGACCAGCCCCGGACAAGCCGAAUGUUUACGAUUUCAAAACAACAUAUGAUCAGAUGUACAAUGAUCUGCUUAGGAAAGACAAAGAACUAUACACACAGAAUGGGAUUUUACACAUGUUGGACAGAAAUAAGAGAAUCAAGCCACGACCAGAAAGGUUCCAGAACUGCAAAGAUGUUUUUGAUUUGAUCCUAACGUGUGAAGAAAGAGUCUAUGACCAAGUAGUAGAAGAUUUAAAUUCCAGAGAGCAGGAGACAUGCCAGCCAGUGCAUGUGAUCAAUGUGGACAUUCAGGAUAACCAUGAGGAGGCAACCCUGGGUGCUUUCCUUAUCUGUGAGCUCUGCCAGUGUAUACAGCACACAGAAGACAUGGAAAACGAAAUAGAUGAGCUGUUACAGGAAUUUGAAGAGAAAAGUGGAAGGACUUUUCUUCAUACUGUCUGCUUUUAUUAAAGCACCUCUGUCUCUUAGGCCUUAAUACAGAUGAGGGAAGCAUGUGUUUAAAGUUCUGAUCAUACGGUAUUUUUCCUGGAAAAUGAUUAUUGAUCUCUUUUUGUUUCAAAACUACUUCUCAGUGUCUUUUUGUUUCAGGUGUUCUGUCCCAGGUAGGCAGAGACACUGCUGGGGGUUGUACAUAUGAGAUGAUGAAAAGUCUACACAAAGGCCACCUAUUUAAAAAAGAUGAGAAUCAAGUGUUUUCUUUAAGCCCUACUUUAAUUAUGACAAAAAAGAAGUGCCCAAGUGCCUGAAGCAGGACGAGAGUGGCCGUUCAUCCUCAGCAUCUCAGAGAGGGCAGUGCCAGCGUGAAGGUGUUGAGAGGAAGCAGAAGACCUCAAGUGUGUCCCUCAUUCAGAGAGCAUCUGGGCAGCUCAUGAUGAGUUUUGAUCCCAUGUUGGACACGAGUGAACUGCUUUCUCUGCAUGAAUUAGGGCACUACCUGGAAAUCUUUUGGGAUCUUAAUUGCCUUUGAAUUAUCGUGUGUGAGAUGAACAAGAGUGUGAGGCUGUAACUGCAGCAGUCUGAGCCAGUGGUAUCUGCCUUCUGUCAGGAAGAUGGGGAAGAAACAGCAAAACUCCACUGUCAACACUAAAGCUUGUUUAUUUCCAAACUAAAGUAUCCUUUGAAUAGAAGUUUGUGACAAGUGUGCUUAUCACAGCUCCCGAGCCAGAAGCUGCGUGUGUGUGUGCAGAGCAAGAGCUCAGGCUUCUGUGUGUUCAGCCUGAUAGAAGUUAAAUGAUUAGUCACUCCAGUUGUGAAUGGUGUGAAGUGUUGCUGCUGCUCACAGGCAAGAGAAGACCUUGAAAGUUGUUUUCUUAAAGGAAGGUGGAAACAGUUUGGAGCAAGUGAGGUCUGUGUGCUCUUCAGUGCACGACACGCAAAGACAACUUGUUAAACGUCACGUUGAAAGAGAAGUGUAGCGUGAAAUGGGGUUUGAGCUCCUGGUUUCUGUCUCUCGUCCUGUCACUGAGCUCUGAGCUCCUGGUUUCUGUCUCUCAUCCUGUCACUGAGCUCUGACAGCUCCCAUGAAUUGCCUAAUUUUCUUUAACCUUCAUGGUUUUGCAAACACAGGGAGUUAGUGCUAAGGAUGUUCUGUUUAGGGCAUCCACACAGACAACACCUCUCCCUGCUCCUGGGAUCUGAGGGUUGGCUGUGGUUUCAGCUGCCUUGUGGGAAAACUUAGACCUCUGCCAGCUCAAUCUGUGUCCUGGACAGUGUCCAAAUGGGUCAUUGCAUCACACUCAGGUCCCAGCAAUGUUGAAUAUCCCUGAAUUUCCUGUGCUCAUUUUCUUGUCUGUUAAAAGUACUUGAAGCAAAAAUGUUGUGCAGAGUGAAUGAAUAGACCAGAAAAAUCAGGGGAUGAGGAGCUCAAGCAACAGUUGUGAGGAAGGUUUGCAGAGUGUUUGUUUCCUGAUUGGCUUGUCCUGUCCCGUUUUCUUGCUGGAGAGACUGUAUUUGAAGGAGAUCAUUCAGCCUCCUCUGCUUCUGCUCAUCUGUGUGUCUGCUACCACUGCCUGUUACCAUGGGGACACUUACAGCCAAAGGAAGAAGAUGAUUCUGUAACAACUCAACUGCUUCAGUUGAUCUCUCUAAAAAAGACAUUGAAGCAAGCAUGACCCUGAGUAUUCUGAGCAGUUUCCCUGUACGGUAUCAGCACUGAAGUCUGUGGCAAGGUGGGACCUGGAGAGUGUUCUCUGGAAACAGUUUGUGCUUUCAGCCCAGUUCAUCCUAAACAGAGCUCUUUGUGGUUGUGUUACAGAAAGUCAAUGCAGACAGGGUGCUCUAGCCUGUGUUUUGUGUCUGUGGAGGUGGACAGCAGCAUCCUUUUCAUUACACAAAGGUGAUACCCCUCCUGUGCGAUGGGCAGAGUUGUGGCUGUGGCGCUGAGUGAGGAUUCAUCAGCAGAGCUCCAGUUGCUGCAUCUCCAACUGCAAUGAGAAACCCAGCUCUAAAAGCCACAGUGUAGUAUACAGGAUGUUACAGGAUUGUUCUUUCCAUCCUAAACGUUCUGUUCACGAGCAAAAGCAACGCUGAGAGCUUUAUUUACCAGUGUGAGGAAGGAGGUUUGGCGGCACAGAGGGAUGACUGAGCUGGAUGGACAGGCAAGUGCUCUGUGUGGCCCACACUCUGGGUCCAAGUGCUUCAAGUUUCUGUGAGCAAAAGCUGUUCCUACUCUGAAACAUUACUUCUCAUUUAACUUACAGGUCAAGAGGUAAAAAUGGGUUCAUUUAUACAGCUGCUUUGUCUCCAUGGCCUUCAUUUGACCUGUAACCCACAAUGAAGUUGAGGCUGUACAGGAGUUUGAUGGGCUCCCAGCCGUGUUUGAGGUACACGUGCAUUGAUACACAAAUAGCUGUGUAGGUAUAAAAUAAACCUUGGCUAAGCACAAAGUGGUUUUCUGUGCCAAAAAGAAAUGUCAAGAGAAACUGUAACUUGAAGAAAAUGGGGGAAAUGUGUUUUUCCUUUGUGUGCUCUCCCCUGUCAUCUCUGCCUUGGUGCUCCUGCUGCGAGGGGCAGGGCUGCACUGGGGCCAUUGCUCUGGCAGUCCUGGAGUUGGCCAUCUUCCUGCUGAAUGAAGGGAAGCAAUGAAGGGUUAACACCUUGUGAACACAGAUGGUGAGUAUUCAGACUUUGACUGUGAUGGGACAUUUCUCCUGUAGCCAUCAGCUACCUGGGCUGUUCUCCCAGUUUCCAGAAGGCCAGCUGAGGUGGCUUUAGAGUGCAGGUUCCUCCCAGAGCUUCCCCAGCCCCACUCUGGGUGCAGAGGUCGUGUUUUGUCACUGUUUUUAUCACUUCUUUGACUAUGAAAAGCCAUAUGGAUUAAACAGUAGAAGGCUGCAGUGUCCACAGAACAACCAGGGAUGUUUGGAAUCCCCACCAGCCAGGACUUGUUGCAAAAGGACAAUGAGGGAAGACUGAGAAACCCGACUCACACCUGAGUCAAUGACAAAGUCUUUCCUCAGUGUCUUCAGGCCCAGCUGAGAGCUGCCCCAGGCUGGUCUGUGGGCCAGGACAUCUGGUUUGAUGGCUGGGAGAUCAGAAACACUGGCAAAACUUUGGCCACACAAAAUUCCUUGAGACUUCUCUUCAAA